CAGCUAAUAGUUUAUUAAAAUUUCAAUUUUGGAUAUUGAAGAUACAUUAAUUGUUUGGCUGA
rnacentral:tRNA from 1 species